GACGAACGCUGGCGGCGUGCUUAACACAUGCAAGUCGAACGCUGAAGCUUGGUGCUUGCACUGGGUGGAUGAGUGGCGAACGGGUGAGUAAUACGUGAGUAACCUGCCCUUGACUCUGGGAUAAGCCUGGGAAACUGGGUCUAAUACUGGAUACGACAUGUCACCGCAUGGUGGUGUGUGGAAAGGGUUUUACUGGUUUUGGAUGGGCUCACGGCCUAUCAGCUUGUUGGUGGGGUAAUGGCUCACCAAGGCGACGACGGGUAGCCGGCCUGAGAGGGUGACCGGCCACAAUGGGACUGAGAGACGGACCAGACUGCUACGGGAGGCAGCAGUGGGGAAUAUGGCACAAUGGGCGGACGCCUGAUGCAGCGACGCCGCGUGAGGGAUGACGGCCUUCGGGUUGUAAACCUCUGUCAGCGCGGAAGAAGCGAAAGUGACGGUACGUGCAGAAGAAGCGCCGGCUAACUACGUG
rnacentral:rRNA from 1 species